GCAUAUCAAUAAGCGGAGGAAAAGAAACCAACAGGGAUUGCCUCAGUAGCGGCGAGUGAAGCGGCAAAAGCUCCAUUUUGAAAGCUCUUCGGAGCGUUGUAGAUUGGUGGGAAGCUAACGGCUGGUGGGAGACCAAGUCCUCUGGAAGGAGGCGCCAUAGAGGGUGAGAGCCCCGUCUGGUUGGAUGCCAAAUCUCUGUAAAUCUCCUUCGACGAGUCGAGUAGUUUGGGAAUGCUGCUCUAAAUGGGAGGUAUAUGUCUUCUAAAGCUAAAUACCGGCCAGAGACCGAUAGCGCACAAGUAGAGUGAUCGAAAGAUGAAAAGCACUUUGAAAAGAGAGUUAAAAAGUACGUGAAAUUGUUGAAAGGGAAGCGUUUAUGACCAGACUUGGGCUUGGUUAAUCAUCUGGGGUUCUCUCCAGUGCACUUUUCCAGUCCAGGCCAGCAUCAGUUUUCGCCGGGGGAUAAGGGCUUCGGGAAUGUGGCUCCCCUCGGGGAGUGUUAUAGCCCGUUGUGUAAUACCCUGGUGGGGACUGAGGUUCGCGCUUCUGCAAGGAUGCUGGCGUAAUGGUCAUCAACGGUCCGUCUUGAAACACGGACC
rnacentral:rRNA from 1 species